rnacentral:rRNA from 1 species
CUCUCGGCAACGGAUAUCUAGGCUCUCGCAUCGAUGAAGAACGUAGCGAAAUGCGAUACUUGGUGUGAAUUGCAGAAUCCCGCGAAUCAUCGAGUUUUUGAACGCAAGUUGCGCCCGAAGCCCCUCGGGGCCGAGGGCACGUCUGCCUGGGCGUCACGCACCGUCGC